UUGAGUUUGGCAGUUUAGCGUCUCAUAUACUAAAUGUUCACCAUCAAUAACAACCUCUUUUGCUAAAAGCAUCACAACAAGAAGGUUUAGUUGAACCCAAAGUGUAUUUAUAGACAGCUGGAUCUAUGCAGAUAUUGGAAAUGGUACAAUGGAAGGCACAACGGUGAAUAAAUCAGGUAAAAAAAACACAACAGCAGGUGUGGGCAAUGGUUGGAUGAACAAGAAAGUAAUUAAGCUGAUAAACUGAUGCAGGUAACCUCAAUUGAGAGUGAAGUGUGCAAAUAAACAGUCCAGCUCAGUUGUGAGCACACAGGAGAUUGCUGGCGACUUGAGGUGAGUACAGGAGAUCGCUGGAGAUUUGAAGGUGAGUACAGGAGAUUGCUGGCGACUUGAGGUGAGUACAGGAGAUAGCUGGAGACUUGAGGUGAAUGGUAAAUGGUAGUGUGUGUGUGUAUAUAUAAGUACAGUAAUUUUGGAAUGUCUUUGAAGGACAUUGGUGAAGAGUUCUGGAGCGCAAACUAAGUGUGUUUAAGAGGACAAGGAUCUCUUUGAGAAAGGACUGGCGCAGUUUGGCUGCAGGUAGAAAAAGAUUGCCAAACUAUUCUGCACUAGGACAGUUCUACAGGCAACGAACUAUGCUAGUGAGUGCUUAAAAAA